UUUAUUCUAUUUUAGAACUAAAAAGUACUCAUAAUGCUUUGAAUUAUGUUUUGCAGCUAUUUGUUGUUAAUAAAGCACAAAAGAAAAGACUGAAGCGGAAACCGGGUUUAGAAACUAAAAGAAACAAAAUGGUGCUGAGGUAGCGGUUACGCCCCGCGUACCUUAAGGUUACGCCCCGCGUACCUGCUUGCAACAGAUAUACUUGAUCGCGUGAUUAUCUUGAGUACGCGCUGCGUAAUUCUAAGUACGCCCAGCGUACUUAGGUCGGUCAUAAAGAUUAUAAAUGUCGAUUUAUAGCUAACCAGAGAGGAAGAUUCGACUUCUAACCUAAUUUAGUCGAUAAUUAACUUCUGUUAAGCCGUUUUGAGGGUCUAGAAGGCGGCCGGAAGGCCGUUAAGCUAACGGAAGCGGAGAUCGGAAGGAUUGGAGAGCGGAUACAUGUUGAUUAUCAUAUGGUUUGCUGACGUGACCAUGUUUAGCAUUCUAUUGUGGUACUUUUCUGUAUUUAGUUUCUGAUUUAGGUGUAAAGACCUUUUACUUUGUGUUUAUGAUUGAAUGAAGCUUUGAUUAUUAGACUAAUUGCUAUAUUAAAUAGUUUAUUUGUGUUUAAUUUAUCUUGCCAAGCUUGUUAAAAGAUCCUCAUGUGUUAAUGAUGAUUAUUUUCUGUUAAUUGUUAAGUGAAUUAAGUUGUAUGAACAUCUGCUUGAUUUGCUUGUCUCUUAUGAUUUUUGAUGACCAUCGAGAUUAUAAGACUAGAAAUAACGAAUGUGAAACUAGGAUUAAUUUGAGAAUAAGUAAGUUAAUGUGUGAGCCUUGUUUGAUGACCAUCAACAAGAGGUUGAUUAAAUGUCUACAUUGAUUAACUAUAUUUACAAGUCUUGCUUGAUACGAACUGAACACUAGGAAGCAUGUUAGUUUAAUCAACUGAUCACUGUUUGAAUUGACUUGUUUGCUAAAGGAUUAGUUAUAGUGAACGCGAAUCUAAUCAUUUUAGGAAUCGGUGAACAUUGAAUAAAUGAAUUUGUGUAUGCAAUUGUCUAUGUUUUUAAGGUGUAAUUUAUCUAAACCAAAGUACCUGAAGAGAUUUGCUUUCCUGUUAGUUUAUCGAGAGUUGUUAAUUGCUAGUUUGAGAUUUAUUAAACCAUUUUAUUUAUUAUUUUCGUGUGACCUGUAACCUAUAAUCAAAUAUAUUAAAUUAAUCCACCGUUCCCUGUGAUCGACACCCGACUUACCUAAGCUAUACUGUAAUCUGACUAGGUACACUGCCUAUAAGUGCAUAGAUAGUCUAAGUUUGUUAGGUUAUAAAUAUUAAAAUUAGUGGGUACUUUUGUGCACAUCAAGUUUUUGGCGCCGUUGCCGGGGAACGGCUUGUCAUUAAUUUAUUUUAUUUGAUUAUUCGUUAUUUGUUUUUAGUUAGUUUUUAUUUUUAGUUUGAUUUUCGAUGAUAUCAUUUCACUUGUCGGGAAGGUUCUUGUUUUUAUUUUGCAGGAAUUUGGGAUUGUACACAUUGCUUGACUUUACUUUUUGCAUGGGUUUCGAGAAUGCAAGCGAUUAGGGAAUUCUUGACCUGCUUAGCCUACUACUUUGUUGAUUUGUCCAACUCAAUCCAUGAGGCGUAGUAUAGCAAGGCGUAUUGUGGUGGUUAAGUGGAAGACCGAGCUCUUGCUGUUCUUGACUAGUUAGGUCACUUCUUGUUCCGCUUUUAGUUAAAGGUGCAAGGAAAACAAAGGAAAUAUUCUAACGGGUCCCGAAAGUGGGUGUUUUCGCAAACCAAUUCUUGCAUGCAAAGGUUUUUGAUCAACCAUUGUUGUUUGAUCUUGACAAAGAUAAGUGAUUAUGACAUCUUAAUUUUUUUAUCACUCAUCGUGAAGUCAUCAUUAGCUUAAGAAAUUAAAUAAAAAAAAUAAAAUAAAUAAGUUUUAAGUCCCUAGAUGAAAUGAUUAAAAAGAAAAGGAAAUUCAAUUAAAAGAAGAAAGGAAAAUUUAAUUACGCCCCGCGUAUGUUUAAUUACGCCAUACGUAAUAAGACCCGAAUCGCGGAUGAACAUCUCAGGGUGUUGGGGUUACGCCCCGUGUACCCUUGAGUUACGCCCCGCGUAACACGGCGACCAGGUAUAUCUUUUGACCCUUUGACUUCUUCUUUAUUCUUUUCCCAAUUUUCUCUCAAACUUGCACUGUGACGGCUAAGAGCUCCUAAACAUUUUCGAUUGUGCUUCCUUUCUUGUAAAAUUCGACACACGGGUAAGUUUUUCGGUUACUCAAAGGCUUUGAUUUGUGUUUAAAUUGAUAAAAUAAGCUGCAUUGUGCCUUUGUUCAAAAUCUAGGGUUCGUGUAUUUUUCGAAUUAGGGGUCGAUUUCACACAUUCGUGUUUGGUUAUGGCUUAAAUGAACCGAUUUCGAGCCAUAGACUAAACCCUAGGACCUAAGUCGGUCUAAAUCCCGUCCCAGCUCCAUCGAUUAAAGCUUGGGGUCGCACGCCAAGCGUACGCCCGAAAAAAAAAAAUCAACUUACGCCCAUGUGAAGUUUUUCUGUUUGCCAAUCUUGAAUAAAUCAGGAACUAAUAGGGGAUUGAGUUAUCUUUUUGGUCAUAAGUUUAAAGGGUGGCUUCGAUUUUUUUUUGUUUGUUUUCUACUGCCUUGAACCUCAAGGUUGGUUCCCCAUGUGUUUGACCGUACCCCUGUGAUUUCGAGUUCUUGACUGACUUCAUAAAAUUAAUAUUUUUAGGGAGGUCCCGAUUUUUCUAAGAGACAAAGAAUUUACAGAGAUUGAUUAAUAUUUUUAGGAGGUCCCGAUUUUUCUCCUAAUACCUUUGGACCACGCGAUGUUUAAAAAUUAAUUGUGUUGAUGCCCCUGCUGUGUUUAUUUGGAUACGGAUUAUGAAUUUAGCACAAGAAAGGGACUGGGAUCAGGACACAGAAUUACAAGCCUGGACAUACGCCCAGCGUAAUGCCAUAUCCACCCCCAAUUUUUUUUGGUUUAAAAAUCUAUUAAUGCUGCCAUAUUUUGUUGGUUUUGUGUUUUUGUGUUAAUAUGUGCAGAUUAUGGCUCGAAGGACACAAAGAACCAACCCUCCCGAGGAUGUGACCGAUCAUCGCUUUUUACAAUUUCCGCAAACGCUGAACGAUGCUACCCGGGCGCGUUAUGUCACCAACUUGAGCUUGCUUCUCACAAAGGAGAUUGAUAUUGCACCCUCAUUCGACUGGGAGUUGGCUACCAGGACUGGACUUGCUGCAUUGAUCCAGGAAUUUUUGCAAUACACACACUCGGACGCGAGUGGUGUGGAAUUGUUUGUGUGUCAGGGAUGGGCGCGUUUGUUCAGGAUCCAGGAGCCUGUGUAUCGGGAGUUUUUGCUGGAGUUCUACGCUACAGUUUCCUAUGAUCCUAGGAAGCCACUCGAUGACAGGACAGCCUUUGCUUUCAGACUGGGAGGAGUGAGCCGGGAAUGCAGCGUGAUAGAGCUUGCUACUCGGGUGGGUAUUUACACAGCCGACGAGACGAGGAGUGUCCACUUCCUGGCAUUCCUUGCUGACUGUCUCACGGAACGGCCAGCGGACUAUAAUGAGAACACAUUUUGGGCCGAGAUUACGGGAGGAGUUUAUACACCAUCUACCGCUCGAGGGGGGAUGAUUCGGUCCACUACAUACCGAAUGUUGCACCGGUUGAUUUCUAUGUCUCUCACGCAUCACAAGAAUAGUGAGAGAGUGCCUUCGACGGACCUGUAUUUCCUAUGGGCACUAGUUACUCCAGGGAGGCACCUGAACCUUCCAGUUGCUUUAGCUGCAUACUUGGGACGGAGGGCCAGGGGACUUCGGGGAGAUAGCCCGAUAUGCGGAGGGCAUUUUAUCACACGGUUAGCUCGAUCAUACCAGUUGAUGACACGUGAGAUCACGAGAUCGAUGGUGUUUCACGACAUGAGGCCGAUGAGUCUUCAGCUAUUGGAGUCGAUGCGCGUAUUAGAGCGGGGUGGUGAUGGUGUUUUGAGAGUUCGAGCAGAUGAUGAGGCAGAUGAGGAGGGUGCUGCCGAGCCACAGCCGAGACGGGUCCAGCGGCGUCGACCUGCUCCUCGGGGAGCGCAGCAGGGACCUGAGCGGGAGAUUGAUAUGCGCUAUCUGGCUCAGGGCAUUGAUCGUCUUAGCGAGUAUGUUGCACAUGUGGACAUGCAACAGCGGUGGUAUGGGAAUGCGUUGAACGCAUUCUUUGCCCAUCAGGGGUUUCAGUAUUCGGUUCCCUUUCCACCACCAUUCCAGUCACGAUUUGAUGGGGCCGGUACUUCUGGGACACAGCCACAUGAUGAUGGAGAUGACGAGUGAUCCUUUUUAUUUUGUUUUAUUUGUUUUGUGUUAUUUUUAGUUUAGUUUAGUUUUUAGUAUUUGGUAUGUAAUUAAACUUUGAUUUAGUUUGAUUUAGUUUGUUUUCCAUGUUGAUGCUCUUUGGUUGUUUAGAUUUCUGCAGAAUUUUCGCCCUUAGGAAGCUGGCAGUAAGUUCAGCAGCUAGGUCCGACUGUUGCUAGAGAGAGCGGUAUGAGAGUUGAAGAUUAUAGUCGAGACCCACGAUUUGUCAUAAGUGUGGGGUGCAUAUUUAUUUCGUGAGCGAUCGUUUUGAAGAUUGGCAUUGUUACGAUGUUUUGACUCUUAUGAUAUGGAUGAGCAGUUCCCAUACUAUAGAGUUUUAUUUCGACGCGAGGAAGAAGUAUCGUCCCGGCUGCCACGACAUGGUUGACACUUUCCUAUGUUAUGGGGGAUUUUUCAUCGCGAGUAGAGGAUGUCAUUCUUGACGAGACGACGUGGUCGACACUUUCCCACGUCAUGGUUACUAUACUUUGCAUUUAUUUGCAAUAUUUUGCACCACAUUUUUGAAGAUGGCGGUCUUGAUUUUAUUUUUCGGCAAAUUCAGAGGCAGCAGUUCCAGUUUUCAGUCUUUCGGCGAUAUUUGAAGCAACUUGUAGCAGCCCCAUUCGAUCUCGCCACAACUACCCAGGGGAGUCUGUUCCUUUUUCUCCCUUUUUAUGUUCUUAAUUUGUUUUAGCAUACAAUGAGGGCAUUGUAUGAAAUAAGUGUGGGGUAGGGGAUCGGUAAAAGUAAAUUAAAAUUAAAAGAAAAAAAAAUGAAAUUGCUAGAAUUUGGAAAAUUUAAAAAUUUUAAAACUUGAAAUAAUAGUUUAAUUUAGAAAAAUCUAGUGAUAAUUUAAAUUUUGCUAAUAUUGUAUGAAAUGAUCCGAUGAGAACUCAAAUGUUUAGUUGAGCCAAUAUACGUUAUAGUGCAUUUGUGGCCUCCCUUAUUUUAGUGAAAUCAUGGAACAAAAACACAACCCCGCUUGGUUUGAGGGAUGCAAUAUGUUUAGCAGCCUAAACCUGAAAUGUAUCCAGGAAAAUUAUUAUCAUUAACCAAUAAAGGUUGAGGUUGAGCGCCUCUGCUUAAGCAUGUAGGGUUUUGAGUGAAAAAAAAGUGAGUUACAUGAAAAAAAGAAAAAAAAAAAAAAAAAAAGGAGAAUUACGAAAAAAGUUUGAAGAAUUUUGGAGCAAAUAAAGUAAAGAUCAAAAGAUCAAAAUUCUGAAGAAAUUCAAAAAGUUGAAGAUACCAGAAAUCAAUUCAAAUAAGGUGUUGAAUUCAAAGAAAUCAAAGAUCAAAUGUCAAAGAAAUGAAGAAUUCAAAUAAAGCUCCAUAGUGGUAUCGGAAAGUUGUAAUUUUCUAGAAUAUGUAUGCUUAGGUUGCUCAACUAAAAAUACCUUGAGGUUAGGAGGUUUUCUGCGGAUGGAUUCGGAGGGUUGCAUAAAAUGAGCAUUGUUCGGAAAAAGUGGGCGAGUGUUUAUGAAGAUUGUGAGUAUUUAAAAUAUGGGGGGGUACUUUAGGAAAAUAUUAGACACAAAUGUACGCGUUGAGGUCUUGGCAUAAUGGCUGAGUUUUAAAUGGAUUGUUUAGUGCGAUAUUGGUAAAAUAAAAGUAAAUUUGCUUGGGGGCAAGCAAAGGCUAAGUGUGGGGUAUUUUGAUAUGUGUAUUUUUAUAUAUAUUUUUAUACACUUUAUCUUAAUAUUUUGGCCUUAUUUAUUCUAUUUUAGAACUAAAAAGUACUCAUAAUGCUUUGAAUUAUGUUUUGCAGCUAUUUGUUGCCGAUGAAGCACAAAAGAAAAGACUGAAUCGGGAACCGGGCUUAGAAGCUAAAAGAAAUCAAAAUUGCUGAAAAAGUGAGUACGCCCCGCGUAAGGAAAUAGUACGCGCCGCGUACACCUUUGCACCGGAUAGACUUGAUCGCGUGAUUAUCUUGAGUACGCGCUGCGUAAUCCUAAGUACGCCCAGCGUACUUAGGUCGGCCACAAAGACUAUAAAUGUCGAUUUUUAGCUAACCAGGAAGGGGGAUUCGACUUCUAACCUAAUUUAGUCGACAAUUAACUUCUGUUAAGCCGUUUUGAGGGUCUAGAAGGCGGCCGGAAGGCCGUUAAGCUAACGGGAGCGGAGAUCGGAAGGAUUGGAGAGCGGAUACAUGUUGAUUAUCAUAUGGUUUGCUGACGUGACCAUGUUUAGCAUUCCAUGGUGGUACUUUUCUGUAUUUAGUUUCUGAUUUAGGUGUAAAAACCUUUUACUUUGUGUUUAUGAUUGAAUGAAGCUUUGAUUAUUAGACUAAUUGCUAUAUUAAAUAGUUUAUUUGUGUUUAAUUUAUCUUGCCAAGCUUGUUAAAAGAUCCUUACGUGUUAAUGAUGAUUAUUUUCUGUUAAUUGUUAAGUGAAUUAAGUUGUAUGAACAUCUGCUUGAUUUACUUGUCUCUUAUGAUUUUUGAUGACCAUCGAGAUUAUAAGACUAGAAAUAACGAAUGUGAAACUAGGAUUAAUUUGAGAAUAAGUAAGUUAAUGUGUGAGCCUUGUUUGAUGACCAUCAACAAGAGGUUGAUUAAAUGUCUACAUUGAUUAACUAUAUUUACAAGUCUUGCUUGAUACGAACUGAACACUAGGAAGCAUGUUAGUUUAAUCAACUGAUCACUGUUUGAAUUGACUUGUUUGCUAAAGGAUUAGUUAUAGUGAACGCGAAUCUAAUCAUUUUAGGAAUCGGUGAACAUUGAAUAAAUGAAUUUGUGUAUGCAAUUGUCUAUGUUUUAAGGUGUAAUUUAUCUAAACCAAAGUACCUGAAGAGAUUUGCUUUCCUGUUAGUUUAUCGAGAGUUGUUAAUUGAUUUAUUAAACCAUUUUAUUAUUUUCGUGUAACCUGUAACCUAUAAUCAAAUAUAAUAAAUUAAUCCACCGUUCCCUGUGAUCGACACCCGACUUACCUAAGCUAUACUGUAAUCUGACUAGGUACACUGCCUAUAAGUGCAUAGAUAGUCUAAGUUUGUUAGGUUAUAAAUAUUAAAAUUAAUGGGUACUUUUGUGCACAUCAGUAUCAUAUACGGAUUUAAUGUCACAAAAUAGCCCAUUAUUGUUUUCAUCUUCGUCAUUCUCGAAACUCGAGUCAUAUGUGGCCUCCGUUAAUGGUGAUAUACAUAUGAAGAUAUCUCAUGGGUCUCGACUGCCAACCCUUGGAUUUUUAUAUAGGGCGUGUUUUGGCACGGAACUUUUGGAAGCGUUUGGGAGCUUCUAGCUUUUAACAUUUGACAAAACGCUCUAGUUUAAAUAAAAAGCUUCGUUUGGCAGUACGAGCGUUUAGCUUUUAGUUUUAACAAAACGCUCCGAUUCUAAAAGCUACUUCACGUAGCUUUUAACAAAACGCUCCAGAGCUUUUGAAAUCAAUUUCCAUAAUUAC
rnacentral:lncRNA from 1 species